rnacentral:tRNA from 1 species
CGGGGCGUAGCGCAGUCUGGUAGCGCACCAGCAUGGGGCGCUGGUGGUCGUGGGUUCGAAUCCCGCCGCCCCGACCA